rfam:Myotis brandtii contig203979, whole genome shotgun sequence.
AUUGCUUCUUGGCCUUUUGACUAAGAUCGGGUGUAGUAUCUAUUUUUUUCAGUUUAGUAUCUGAUACAUCCUCUCUCUGAGGACAGUGUUUUGUGGGGUUGUAUGGUGUCACCCCAA